rnacentral:rRNA from 1 species
AACGAACGUUGGCGGCGUGGAUUAGGCAUGCAAGUCGAGGGAGAACCCGCAAGGGGGACACCGGCGAACGGGGUAGGACAACAUCGGUAACGUACCCUCAGGACGGGGAUAGCGGCGGGAAACUGCCGGUAAUACCCGAUGAUCUGGCGACACUGCGAUGGUCGUCAGCAAAGGUGUGAUUCCACCGGAGGAGCGGCUGAUGCGCUAUUAGCUAGUUGGGGAGGUAACGGCUCACCAAGGCUGCGAUGGCUAGGGGGUGUGAGAGCAUGGCCCCCACCGCUGGCACUGAGACACUGGCCAGACACCUACGGGUGGCUGCAGUCGAGAAUCUUCGGCAAUGGGCGCAAGCCUGACCGAGCGACGCCGCGUGCGGGAUGAAGGUCUUCGGAUUGUAAACCGCUGUCGGAGGGGAUGAAAUGCCGGGGGGUUCUCCCCCCGGUUUGACAGAGCCUCGGAGGAAGCACGGGCUAAGUUCGUGCCAGCAGCCGCCGUAAGAC